ensembl:snRNA U6 U6 spliceosomal RNA
GUGCUCACUUCAGCAGCACAUAUACUAAAACUGAAACAGUACAGAGGAGAUUAGCAUGGCCCCUGUGCAAGGCUGACACACAAAUUUGUGAAGCGUUCCUUAUUUUG